UACGUAGGGUGCAAGCGUUGUCCGGAAUUAUUGGGCGUAAAGAGCGCGUAGGCGGCCAGAUAAGUCCGGUGUGAAAGUCAAAGGCUCAACCUUUGAAUGCCGCUGGAAACUGUCUGGCUAGAGUCCGGGAGGGGCGAGUGGAAUUCCUGGUGUAGCGGUGAAAUGCGCAGAUAUCAGGAGGAACACCAAUGGCGAAGGCAGCUCGCUGGAACGGUACUGACGCUGAGGCGCGAAAGCGUGGGGAGCAAACAGG
rnacentral:rRNA from 1 species